rnacentral:rRNA from 1 species
GACGAACGCUGGCGGCGUGCUUAACACAUGCAAGUCGAACGGAAAGGCCCUGCUUGCAGGGUACUCGAGUGGCGAACGGGUGAGUAACACGUGGGUGAUCUGCCCUGCACUUCGGGAUAAGCCUGGGAAACUGGGUCUAAUACCGGAUAGGAGCCAUUUUUAGUGUGAUGGUUGGAAAGUUUUUUCGGUGUAGGAUGAGCUCGCGGCCUAUCAGCUUGUUGGUGGGGUAAUGGCCUACCAAGGCGGCGACGGGUAGCCGGCCUGAGAGGGUGGACGGCCACAUUGGGGCUGGGAUAGGGCCCGGAGUCCUCCGGGGGGGAGCGGUGGGGAAAUUUGCCCAAUGGGGGGAGGCCGGAUGAGGGAGGGCGGGGGGGGGAUGGCGGGCUUCGGGUUGGAAACGCCUUUCGCUAGGGACGAAGCUUUUUGUGACGGUACCUAGAUAAGAAGCACCGGCUAACUACGUG